rnacentral:rRNA from 1 species
GAGCAUUUGGUUAAUNGAAGCAACGCGAAGACCUUACCAGGUCUUGACAUCNUCUGAAAACCCUAGAGAUAGGGUUCUCCNUCGGGAGCAGAGUGACAGGUGGUGCAUGGUUGUCGUCAGCUCGUGUCGUGAGAUGUUGGGUUAAGUCCCGCAACGAGCGCAACCCUUGAUCUUAGUUGCCAUCAUUAAGUUGGGCACUCUAAGGUGACUGCCGGUGACAAACCGGAGGAAGGUGGGGAUGACGUCAAAUCAUCAUGCCCCUUAUGACCUGGGCUACACACGUGCUACAAUGGUCGGUACAAAGAGCUGCAAGACCGCGAGGUGGAGCUAAUCUCAUAAAACCGUUCUCAGUUCGGAUUGUAGGCUGCAACUCGCCUACAUGAAGCUGGAAUCGCUAGUAAUCGCGGAUCAGCAUGCCGCGGUGAAUACGUUCCCGGGCCUUGUACACACCGNCCCGUCACACCCCGANAGUUUGUANCACCNNAAGUCGGUGGGGUAACCUUUUUGGNNCCAGCCGCCUNANGUGGGACAGAUGAUGGGGG